GGAAUCCACCAUGGGGAAUAGACUGGGGGAGCCAAGGAUGCAAAGCAUCAUUGGGCCAGGGAAGACCAACACAACCAACUCCUUCCCAGGAGACAGAGAGAACCAAGAAUCAUCAGAUCAGCCCUUAAGGCUGAAGCCCCAUAUCUGUUCCAGACUAUCAGAGGAAUAGACUCAGGAGUGUCAAACCUGAGUUUGUAGACUCAACAGCUCAAACUCUGCAUUCACAGGAUUGCGGUGAGGGUGAGGAUGAGAAAAGAGGCUUGCCGGAGAGGAGGGCACCCACCGAAGAAAGUGCCCAGGAGAAGGGCAAGGGGAGAGCAGAGCAUCAUCCAAGCCAGCCUUUCCUGCAGCUAGUGUGGGGGACAGACGCCUCCUCUUCUGGGCCAGUGACGUGGUCAGGCCGCUCCCUCUGGGAGAUCUGCUGCCAGAGCAGAGGAAUCUACCCCUUGAGCUGGGGAGGAAACGAGGCUAGUCUUGUUUUAAGAGUGUGAUGAAUCACCCCUGGCCUCCCUGGGAACCAGCUGUACUCUGCACUUGGUAUCUUCUUUGCAUUUCUGCUGACAUCCUGGUAUGUAAAUAUAUUUAAUGACUCAUUGUUUACCUGUAAACUAGAGGUAACUCUCUAGCUCCCCUAGGAGACAUCAGAAGCCUGGGAAACCUUCAGAGAAACUGUGAUACUGAUAGAAGGAUGAAAAAGGAUUUUAGUUUAUCUGAAAUUGGAAACUAGAGCUAGACAUGUUACCUGGGAGAUGAAAGGAUAGGGCUCAAGAGAUUCAGGUAUUUUGGGGUAAUCAAAGCAGAAAUGCUCAGUUCUAAGGGCAGGAAGCUUCUAUGACAGCCAAACAAGGGAUCGUCUGCAUAAUCUUCAUCCCUGGCAGACAGGUUUUGAGACCUGGACAGGCAGAAUUAACUCCUGAAUUGAUCAAAGUUGGAAUCUGUUCCACGUGCCUCUAAUGGCCCAACUAGAUCUAAUUUAUCCUCUAAAUGCAACAUGAAUAACAGGAAACAUCACAGAGCCUUGGAAUCAUAUGGAUUUGGGUUCAUUUUGCAGCUCUGUUUCUUGCUGGCUUGGGAACUCUCAAGCAAACCCUCAUUCUCAAUUUUCUUAUCUGUAAAAUGAAAAUAAUGAUGACGAUACCUAAAAAUUGUUGAAAGAUGCAUUUUGCCUGGUGCACUGCAGGCAGGCACUCUUAUACGUGUUGGCUUUUUUAUUUUUUUCUUUUCUUUUCUUGACUCUAGGAAAAGCCUAUGUCUGCAGCAAAGAUUGGGAGAUUUACAAUGGGAUGUGGUGAAAAGUGGGGGCUGAAGGGACCACAGAGCCACAAAAAACACAGUCAAGCCACCAAUUCAUAAUAGCUAAGGAUUCAUAAUAGCUAAGCGUGGGAAUCUGCUAGGUAGCUGCUAAAACGUCAUUCUGCUGAACUGGGACUUAGGACCUUGAGAUGCCUGGAGGACACCAGCACACCCUUGGAAACUCCUCUUCCCUCUGUCUUUGCCAUGCUCUGUCCUCUGAAGGAUUCAUAUUCAGAACAAUUACUCAGUUUGUGUUGGAUGUGGUGCAGUGGUUGGAGACGAGAACCCAGGAAAGAAAGCUGUAAAAGCGGCUGAACAGGGAGAAUCAGCCUUAAGCAAAUAAAGCAUCUGUAACACUUUCCCAUUUCAUCAGGGCCUAGUGAUGUCAUAUGUUUGUUGUUGUUGCUGAUGCUACAGUAACACAAUUCCAAGUUAAUGUUGGGGUUCUUGCUCCUGACAGUUUCGGCUGUAGCACAUUUUUUUGUUUGCAUUUGAAUACACCAUAUGUAUAGGGGAAUGUUUUGUUUUUUCUCUUUUCUAAAUGGAAUUAAUCCUCUUAUAACAUUUAUUUAAAUGAUAAACCAAGUGGUAAAUGUAGUUUGCUUGCAGUGAACAUUUGGAACAUAUGAUGAAAAAUAGCUAUAGCCAACGCAAGAGCAGUUUUCAUUGGCUGUUCUACAGUUGUUCAAUCUCAGUUUUUAAUAAAUCUGAUAAUAUAAUAUCUGUGCAUAUUAGGAUUGCAGGGAGUGAGGCCAAAAUAAAUAUGUGCACACAUAACCUGUUCCUCCCUUUCUUUCCAUUUCUGUUCUCUUUCCUCUUUGCCUUUGAAAUUUUUAUUUAGUCCUGAGUGGGGAUGGGGUGGAGAGAAAGUGGACAGGGGGUGGAGAGAAAGUGGACAGAGGGUGAUGGGAGAUACAGGGAGAAAGAAUGAGAAUUGCUCUUGCUCUCAAGGGUACCACAUCAUGUUUUCCUUUGGCUGGCAGUCUUUAACACCAGCAUAUCGCAUGAGACCUGACUUCACUCAUCAGCUGCAUCGGCUCAGUGUCAUUACCACAUGUAGAGAGCAAUGUAAUCCUCCUUCUUAGAGAUGUUGCAGCAGAUUGGAGGGUGAAGAGAUGUAUCAGUCAGAUCAGAGUAACCAGCUGGCUCCUGGCUCCUGAUCAUUGUCACAGCUCAGUAGCUGGAAGCUCCUUCCAUAUGGCUGAUGCCUUUAAAAAAAUCUCCUCAGUCUCCAUCCCCAUCUGCAAUACUGUUCAGUUAUUCAGUCAUUUAAGUCAUUCAUGUAUUGAAAAGAGGAUGGGGCUAUGAUCCCUCUGCUCUGUGGCAGUACAUCUACAAAUGGGAGAGGCCUGGCCGCACAUCUGGCCUAGGUCUGGAGGUGUCCUACGGAAUUGAAAGCUGGCUGUAACUGUCAUCUUAACAUGUCCUGGUCAUCUUAACGUGUCCAUCUCUCUGGCAAGCCUCUUUUCAAAUCUUUUUGUUACCAUCUUCGGCUUUUUCCGUCCAUACUAGAUUCUUAAUGAAUCACUGCCAACAAGAGAAAGCUUUAUACAUGAAGAAAAUGGCAAUAAGAAUGAACUCAUCUUUUUAAUUUUAAAACUAGUAUAUAUUCCUAUAUAAUAGGAAUGGAGGAUGCUUGCAAAGCCUAUUUGUUCCUCUACAGAAGAGUUUAAAAUUACCUGGGCUAAUGGAAAGAAGGGAGAGUCAGCCAGUGAGAUGCUCCUGAAUGCCCUGAAUUGUGACUUACCUCUUCUUAUCCACAUCCUGAUCAAGGAAAGGGAUGAGAGAGAGGUGGAGAGAGAAGAAAUGAAAAUUCAAAAGUUUUGACGGCAGAGGAAAAUUGUGCUUAUUUCCAGAAUGAGAUGAACAAGGUCCUGGGUCCCUACAUGUCAUACUGGCUAGAGACUGAAUUUCCUGGGUUGCUGUGCACACAAGAGGACCCAAGCAGAGCACGGCACCCUGAAAUUCUUACUGAGCUGCGGACACAGCUCAGAGAAGAGGAGGCCAUGCACGGAAAGAGCCCCACAAUUUUCAUGCAGUCUCAUUGAGUCUUUGGGUAAAUACUAAGCUGGCAUCCAUUGGAUGAAAUUCCACAGGGACAGGCAAAGAAUAAAUACUGGGGAAUUAACAACUGCUGGUGAACUACAGUAUGAAUAAUUACUAGAUCUUGGUCAAGGCCAAGAGAGAGACAGCUCUGAGCAAUCAGAAUAGCUUUGUUGAAUACCUGGAAUAUUUAACAGGUAUCCCAGGAAGCCCAUAACUUAGAGUAGGACUCAAAUGACAUAGAAUAAGUCUACCAUCCAUUAACCCUAACAAAGCUUGGAAGAGCCCUUGAAAGGAAAAGCAGACAAGUUGACCUAUAAGCAAGUCAACUGCCCACUACAAUAAAGCUCAACACUCUUUGAGAGAAGAAAACAAAAUUCAGACAAUAACAAAGUAACAUAAUGUUGAGCAUCCAGUGAGAAAUUAUGGGAUAUACUUAGAAGCUGGAAAAUGUGUCUAUACUAAGUAGUAACAUUAGGCAAUUGAAAUCAACCCAGAAAUGACAGAGAUGGUGAAUCAAAAUAAUGGGACUUAAAAAUAGCUAUUAUAUUAAAAUGGCUAUUAUUAAAUAUGUUCAAGGAUUUAUAGUAAAACAUAACAUAAUGAAGAAAGAAACAGAAACUAUAAAAAAGCUAAGUAGAACUUCUAGAUCUGAAAAAUAUCUGAAAUGAAAAUUUUGCUAGAUAAGCUUAAAUUGGAGUAGACACUAUGGGAUAAAUGUCUAUGCACAUGAAAUCAGGACAACAGAAACUCAAAACAAGAGAGGGGGAAAUAAUGCUAAACAGCUACAAAAACUGGAAGAGGUCUCAGGGAACUCUCAAACAACAUCAAGUCGCCUAGCACACAUAUCACUGGAGUCUUCAAUAUAAAGGAGAGAAAGUGGUGGCAGAAAACAAUUAUUUUUAAAAUAGUGGCCAAAAUGUUUCAUACAUGAUAAAUAAUAUCCACCUACAGAUCCAGAAAGCUUAGCGAAACCCAGACAGAAUAAGCCCAAACAAGUUUGUUUAUGAAAGAGAUUACUUACAGGUACAAGGCUCAGUGUAACUUUCAUGUAAGAGACGGACUCUGAGAUGGUCCUUGAGAAGGCAUAGGGUUUUAGACUGAUAAAAAUGACAUUUAAAGGCAAGAAAGGAUGAAUGGUGCAGAAAUGACCAAAGGGGACAGAGGCUGAAAGUACAGGACAUCAGGGAAGAAUAGUAAGAAGAUGAACCUAAAGGGAGAGGAAGAGAAUGCAUGAAGAUAGGUUACAGUAAAAUUUCCUAAAGCUUAACAUGUCUGUGUCUGAGGGAAUUCUAUGAUGGAGUAACAGAGGCUGAAUUUACCCUCAAACCUGAAACAAUUAAAAUGCAUGAAAUAUAUAAAACACUGGACAACAGAUGGCUCAAGACCGUGAUCCUUGAGAGAAGUGAAAUGAAUAAAGUGAACUCUGUGAUAGCCCCAGUUUAUAGCCUUUUUCAAGCAGUAUUACAGGGAGGAGAAGCCCAAACAGCAUCUGGCAGGCUUUCUGAGUUAAGGAGACUUGUAUUCAGGGUUUGAGGAGGCCAAAAUGGCUAAAAUUCCAGGGAAGAGACCCAGGGAGGAGAAAGCAGUAGGUGGGAAGAGCUCUGGAAUGUGCAUCGGACUCCCAGUGACUCUUCAACUGCUCUGACCAGUGCAUAUAAGAAAACAACCUGAGGCCAGGGAAAGACCACUUGAUGGAUCAAGCAGAACCAUCUCAAAGUCCACAAGGUACCAGGAACAGAUAGUGUUUCCAUCAACCAGAGUGGGAGACCUCCUAACACAGAGGGCAUUGAGGAGAAUUCUCAGAAGCGGAUCACCCCAGUACGGAGGGCGGGAGGGCAAAUUUGCUGUACACUAAAGGUUGUCCUAGAUACAACUUACAAAGCUUCAAGACAAGACUCAGAAAUAUCAAAUUGUUUCUAUGUAAUCUAUCUGCAUCACAAAAUAAAGUCCCAAAUUUCUUUAAGGGAUACAAAUACUCCAGUAGCUAGAAACAUCAAAUUCAAAUAUCUGAUAUCCGAUUUUAAAAAGCCAUAUAUGCAAAGAAACAGAAAAAUAUGGGUCAUAAGGAGGAGAAAAACACUCAACAGAAACAGAUCCAGAAAUGAUACACAUGAUGGAGUUAGCAGACAAGGCUAUUAAAUAUAUAUUCAAUAUGUUCGGCAGGAUAGAAGAGAGUGUACCUAUGUUAAGAAGAGACAUGGAAAAUUUGAAAAAGACUGAAAUAAAACUUCUUCCAAUGCAAAAUACAAUGAAUGUGAUUUUAUAAUAUACUGGAUGGGAUUAACAGCAGAUUAGAUAUCUCAGAUCAAACUUAAAGAUGAGGUAAUAGAAAUCAUCUAGGAUGAAAACAGAAAGAAACUGACUUUAAAAAAGUGAGCAGAGCAUCAGUGAGCUAUAGAACAGCAUUAAGUAGCCUAAUAUUGAGAGUCCUAUGAAACUGGAGGACUAAUGCAGAAAAAAGAAAUUGAAUAACUAAUAGCUGAAGCAGUUUGAAAUUUAAUGAAAAGGAAAAGCCACAGAUUGAAGAAGUUUCAUGAACUCCAAGCACAAGUAACAUAAAGAACACUUUAACAAGAUACAUUAUCGCUGGAUUGCUUAAAACUAGUAAUUAAAGAAAAAUCCUGAAGAGCAACCAGAGAAUAAAAGACACACUAUGUACAAAUGAACACAGUUAAGAAUGACUGCAGUCAUCUCACUAGAAACAAUUCAGGCAAAAGAGUGUGGAGAAACAUCUUUAAAUUAUUUAAAGAAAAAAUUCCUGUUAACCUAGUACUCUAGAUCCAGUGAAAAUAUCUUUCAAAAACAUUGGCACAAUAAACUUCUCAGACAUACAAAAACUAAAAUAAUUCUUCGCCAGAAGACACAUACACUACAAGAAAUGUUAAAGGAUAUCUUUCAGACAAAAUGAAAAAAAGUCCAGAUGGAAUUGGUAAGCUAGCUCCCUGUGAGGGAAAAAAAGGAAAAAAGGGAAAAGCCUGGAUUUAUAGCAUUUUGACCAAUUUUAUGAAUAUAAACAUUCCCACCAUGGCCAAAUUCAAACAAACAACGAUUUUUAACGACUGGUUCACAAAAUUUCUGAAUAUUUAACAACUGGGUCCUAUGAGCUGAUACAAACCAACUACAGACUAUUACAGAUAGAAUAUCAUUAGCAAAUAUGUAAUAAAUACAAAAAACAGUAUUUGUGUUAUUUUAAAAAUCUCUUUUAAAAUAAUUGACUUUCUAUUUCCAGCGAAACCAAAGUAAAGGACAAAAUAUAUAAAGCACCAGUUUUCAAGACAUUAGACAUCAGGCAAGGAAGGACAAGAAAAAAUGAAGUUGUAUAAUAACCCAAGCUUACCACCUGGAGACAAUUUCCAGGCCAUGGCACACAGAGGGGAAAUCCAGGUGGAAACUAUCAAACUCCUCCAGUCAAGGAGACACAACUGAGAGGAGAAUAAGGGCAAGUAGAGUUCACAGGGCUGAGGAUAGCAGAGGAGAGAGAUGGGCAGAGAGAAUCUGUGAGGUCUUCAGAGGGCCCACCCUCAGUAUUCACAGGGUAUUAACAAGACCAUAAGUGUGAGAAAACCAUCUGAGAUUGGGAAAAUAACCAUACAAAGGAUUAAAGAGAACAGUAACUGAAUUUCCUGUAGGACCAGGAAUAGGGUAUAAUUUCACCAGCCAGACUCAAAAACAUUAAAAUUUAUGGGGCACUGGGACAAGAGUGUUUUGUGUCAGAAGGGUUUUGGCUCACAAGUGGAGAAUAAUGAUCUCUAAACUAAAUGCUGCUCUGCUGUCAUCUAACAGAUGAUUAAAACUAGGUACAAAAGAAUCAGAUUAUUUCAAGAAAUGUAACUGUGUUCUAAAACAGAGCUCAAAAAUAUUUACAGAAAAAUAAAAAGUCCAAUACAAAAUUAAAACUCAAUGUAUGGAAUAAAAUAAACAAAUUACCACGCAUACAAAAAAAGCAGAAAAAUGCAAUGUAUAAUGAAAGGAACAACUGGAACAGAUGUUAGUAAAAAAAAGAUAAUUUAAUUUAAAAAUAAAAAAGUUAAGCUAGAGCUGUUAAGUAGACAUAGAAGAUAUUUUUAAAAGCCCCAAAUCCAACUUCUGGAGAUGAAAAUGACAAUAUCUGACAUUAAAAAUACACUGAAUUAGAUUAAUGAUAGAUUAGACAAUGUAGAAGAAAAUACUAGUAACCUAGGAAGAUAUAGCAACAAAGGCAAACCAAAAAUGGAGGCCAGAGGAAAUAAAAUAAUUUUUUAAAGGAAACAGACAAUUAAUUGUUACAGGACAACUUCAAGUGAACUAACAUAACUGGUUUUAAAAGAAGAGAAGCAAGAUGGCAAGAAAGAAAAAAUUAUUAGAGGAAAUCAUGACUGAAAACUUUCUGAAUUCAAUAAAACUCAAACCUCAUAUAUCCAAGAAGCUUGACAAAACUCAAGCACACAUACACAAAAUGUACCAAAGACUAUAAUAAUCAGAUUUCUGAAAAUUAGUG